UACGGAGGGAGCUAGCGUUGUUCGGAAUUACUGGGCGUAAAGCGCACGUAGGCGGCUUUUUAAGUCAGGGGUGAAAUCCCGGGGCUCAACCCCGGAACUGCCUUUGAAACUGGAAGGCUAGAAUCUUGGAGAGGCGAGUGGAAUUCCGAGUGUAGAGGUGAAAUUCGUAGAUAUUCGGAAGAACACCAGUGGCGAAGGCGACUCGCUGGACAAGUAUUGACGAUGAGGUGCGAAAGCGUGGGGAGCAAACAGG
rnacentral:rRNA from 1 species